rnacentral:rRNA from 1 species
AUUGAACGCUGGCGGCAGGCCUAACACAUGCAAUUCGAACGAGUGGCGGACGGGUGAGUAAUGUCUGGGAAACUGCCUGAUGGAGGGGGAUAACUACUGGAAACGGUAGCUAAUCCCGCAUACCAUCGGAUGUGCCCAGAUGGGAUUAGCUAGUAGGUGGGGUAAAGGCUCACCUGGGCGAAGAUCCCUAGCUGGUCUGAGAGGAUGCCCAGCCAUACUGAAACUGAGACACGGUGAAGACGCCUACGGGAGGCAGCAGUGGGGAACAUUGCACAAUGGGCGCAAGCCUGAUGCAGCCAUGCCGCGUGUAUGAAGAAGCCGUUCGGGUUGUAAAGGACUUCUAGCGGGGAGGCGUUACCCGCAGAAGAAGCACCGGUUAACUCCAUGCCAGCAGCCGCGGUAAUAC